rnacentral:rRNA from 1 species
UACGGAGGGUGCAAGCGUUAAUCGGAAUUACUGGGCGUAAAGCGUGCGUAGGUGGUUUAAUAAGUUAUCUGUGAAAGCCCUGGGCUCAACCUGGGAAAGUCAGAUAAGACUGUUAGACUUGAGUAUGGGAGAGGGUAGUGGAAUUUCCGGUGUAGCGGUGAAAUGCGUAGAGAUCGGAAGGAACACCAGUGGCGAAGGCGGCUCGCUGGGCCACACCUGACGCUGAGACGCGAAAGCUAGGGGAGCGAACAGG